GCCAACUUUUUCACUCUCCCCUUUCACUUUCAUCAAGAGGCUUUUUAGUUCCUCUUCACUUUCUACCAUAAGGGUGGUGUCAACAUACUGUUCUGUAAAAUGCGAGUUGGAAGUAGAUGCUGUCUGAACUGAUCCAUUCAGGGUUCAGGCUUUUCAAAGGAACUAGGUUUGGGAAAUGUAUAUAACAACGUGGGAGCAGAGAACCUUGCUCUUAAAAGGAGCACGGGGAGUUGGGACCGACUGCGCUCACAGCCACAUUGAGUCAUCCCCCUUCUCUUCAAUCUCUGAAUCCUCUUGCAUAGUUCCCUCCUAGACAUCCCUCACCUCGGGACCAUGCAAGCACCUACCCCCACAUCCCUGUGAGGCUACCCCGUAGGAUGGGGACAAUCGGGUUUGUGUCCCCUACUGUGACGCCUACGUGAUGUUUAAUUCCACGUCACAAUGUGCCGGGGAGCCUCCACCUAGGACACUCCGCUUCUGCCAGAAAAGCCCUCGGAGGCUGCGGUGGUCUGAAUGGCGCACCUUUGCGCGUGUCCUCUGCGGCGGGAGAAGGGGUUCAUUCUGGAUGGGGUGGCGGUGAGCACCAUGGCCCGCUCCUACGAGCACCUGAGGCCCAAGCUCUGGUCGGCGAUUCCGCCGUACAACGCGCAGCAGGACUGCCACUCCCGCCGGUACUUCCGGAGCCGCGUGGUUCCGCCCAUCCUGCGGAAGACUGAUCAGGAUCAUGGCGGUACAGGAAGGGAUGGUUGGAUAGUGGAUUAUUUCCACAUCUUCGGGCAAGGACAGAGAUACCUCAACAGGAGAAACUGGGCAGGGGCAGGCAAGUGCCACCCCCCUUUCCAAUCUCAUCAUGAUCUCACCUGGGAAGAGUGGUGUGCCUUCCACAGUGAGAGAAACUGGGUCCUAAAGAGACCUGGAAGGGAAAGAGACCCAGCGACUGACUGCAUCCUCCAGUUUUCUUCUCAUGCAUGAGCAGAUGGUGUUACAGUGCUCCCUGAUAGUUAGUUAUUGAGCACCCACUGUAUAUCAGGCGCUUUUUAUCCUCAGAAUAUCCUCAAGUUACAGCCAGGGAAAUUGAGUUUUAGAGAGUUAAAAUGAUUUGUUAAGAAGGGUUGGAGUUCCCUGGUGGCUCAGUGGUAAAGAAUCUGCCUGCCAAUACAGGAGACAUGGGUUCAAUCCCUGCUUUGGGAAGAUUCCCCCGGAGGAGGAAAUGGCAACCAGCUCCAGUAUUUUUGCCUGGGAAAUCCCAUGGGCAGAGGAGCCUGGCAGGCUAUAGUCUAUGGGGUCGCAAGAGUCAGACAUGAGUUAGCAACUACACCACCACCAUCACCAAGAAGGGCUGAGCUGAGAUUGAAAUUACACUGUUUUCCAAGGGAAGCCUGUGUUCUCAUUGCUCCCAGAGCAGACUGUGUCCUGCUCACUCUCCAGGCCCAAUUUAACAGCGGUAGGAAAAGGGAGUGUUGAGAGCUGUUUUUCUGGCAGAGUAAGCCCUCCUCCUACCCUACCUAGUCACAUGAUCCCUCGCACCAUUGGCCAAAUUGAGCUCAUCUGUUUUCUCCAGAUGGGUCAGAUACAAGGGUGAAAACUUCUCAGUUCUCCAGGGUGCAAGGCAAGUUCAGCCAAGCCCAGAAGUUUCUGGCCCAGAAUUCUCCCAGAACAUAUCAUCCAUGCUCCCUCUGCAUGCUACCCCUAGUAUGAGGAAUGGUUUCCAGGAUUCCAUCUGUCUCCUCCACCUCAUCCACCCUUGGCUCUUCAGGACUCAGGGUUCAGCAGGGACAUGGGAGCACAGUGACUAUAACUGAGGCAUUCUCUCCAGCAAGUGACCGGGCAUGACCACUAUAAUACCAAUCUGAAAGCAACCCAGGGGUUCAAUGGUCGGUUUGGCUAUCGCCGGAACACCCCAGCCCUUCGCCACUGCCCAUCUGUCUUUGGAGAGAUCA